rnacentral:rRNA from 1 species
AUUGAACGCUGGCGGCAGGCCUAACACAUGCAAGUCGAGCGGAUGAAGGGAGCUUGCUCCUGGAUUCAGCGGCGGACGGGUGAGUAAUGCCUAGGAAUCUGCCUGGUAGUGGGGGAUAACGUCCGGAAACGGGCGCUAAUACCGCAUACGUCCUGAGGGAGAAAGUGGGGGAUCUUCGGACCUCACGCUAUCAGAUGAGCCUAGGUCGGAUUAGCUAGUUGGUGGGGUAAAGGCCUACCAAGGCGACGAUCCGUAACUGGUCUGAGAGGAUGAUCAGUCACACUGGAACUGAGACACGGUCCAGGCUCCUACGGGAGGCAGCAGUGGGGAAUAUUGGACAAUGGGCGAAAGCCUGAUCCAGCCAUGCCGCGUGUGUGAAGAAGGUCUUCGGAUUGUAAAGCACUUUAAGUUGGGAGGAAGGACAGUAAGUUAAUACCUUGCUGUUUUGACGUUACCAACAGAAUAAGCACCGGCUAACUUCGUG